GACAGAGGAUGCAAGCGUUAUCCGGAAUGAUUGGGCGUAAAGCGUCUGUAGGUGGCUUUUUAAGUCUGCCGUCAAAUCCCAGGGCUUAACCCUGGACAGGCGGUGGAAACUACCAAGCUGGAGUACGGUAGGGGCAGGGGGAAUUUCCGGUGGAGCGGUGAAAUGCGUAGAUAUCGGAAGGAACACCAGUGGCGAAAGCGGCUUCCUGGUCCAGCAUCGACGUUCAGGCACGAAAGCGUGGGGAGCAAACAGG
rnacentral:rRNA from 1 species